CCACCACUAAGCCAGUGGUGAACUCCACAUACGCAUCCUUUGCUGAGGAUACGGUUAACGGAGCGAAAGCGACGUUCAACCGCAAAAGAAGCAGAGGGGGCUUAGUGGUGGGGUGACUGCGUACCUUUUGUAUAAUGGGUCAGCGACUUAUAUUCUGUAGCAAGGUUAACCGAAUAGGGGAGCCGGAGGGAAACCGAGUCUUAAUUGGGCGUUAAGUUGCAGGGUAUAGACCCGAAACCCGGUGAUCUAGCCAUGGGCAGGUUGAAGGUUGGGUAACACUAACUGGAGGACCGAACCGACUAAUGUUGAAAAAUUAGCGGAUGACCUGUGGCUGGGGGUGAAAGGCCAAUCAAACCGGGAGAUAGCUGGUUCUCCCCGAAAGCUAUUUAGGUAGCGCCUCGUGAAUUCAUCUCCGGGGGUAGAGCACUGUUUCGGCUAGGGGGCCAUCCCGGCUUACCAACCCGAUGCAAACUGCGAAUACCGGAGAAUGUUAUCACGGGAGACACACGGCGGGUGCUAACGUCCGUCGUGAAGAGGGAAACAACCCAGACCGCCAGCUAAGGUCCCAAAGUCAUGGUUAAGUGGGAAACGAUGUGGGAAGGCCCAGACAGCCAGGAUGUUGGCUUAGAAGCAGCCAUCAUUUAAAGAAAGCGUAAUAGCUCACUGGUCGAGUCGGCCUGCGCGGAAGAUGUAACGGGGCUAAACCAUGCACCGAAGCUGCGGCAGCGACGCUGAUGCGUUGUUGGGUAGGGGAGCGUUCUGUAAGCCUGCGAAGGUGACCUGUGAGGGUUGCUGGAGGUAUCAGAAGUGCGAAUGCUGACAUAAGUAACGAUAAAGCGGGUGAAAAGCCCGCUCGCCGGAAGACCAAGGGUUCCUGUCCAACGUUAAUCGGGGCAGGGUGAGUCGACCCCUAAGGCGAGGCCGAAAGGCGUAGUCGAUGGGAAACGGGUUAAUAUUCCCGUACUUGGUGUUACUGCGAAGGGGGGACGGAGAAGGCUAUGUUGGCCGGGCGACGGUUGUCCCGGUUUAAGCGUGUAGGUGUGUGUUCCAGGUAAAUCCGGUUCACUUUAACACUGAGGCGUGAUGACGAGGCACUACGGUGCUGAAGCAACAAAUGCCCUGCUUCCAGGAAAAGCCUCUAAGCAUCAGGUAACAUCAAAUCGUACCCCAAACCGACACAGGUGGUCAGGUAGAGAAUACCAAGGCGCUUGAGAGAACUCGGGUGAAGGAACUAGGCAAAAUGGUGCCGUAACUUCGGGAGAAGGCACGCUGACACGUAGGUGAAGUGAUUUACUCAUGGAGCUGAAGUCAGUCGAAGAUACCAGCUGGCUGCAACUGUUUAUUAAAAACACAGCACUGUGCAAACACGAAAGUGGACGUAUACGGUGUGACGCCUGCCCGGUGCCGGAAGGUUAAUUGAUGGGGUCAGCGCAAGCGAAGCUCCUGAUCGAAGCCCCGGUAAACGGCGGCCGUAACUAUAACGGUCCUAAGGUAGCGAAAUUCCUUGUCGGGUAAGUUCCGACCUGCACGAAUGGCGUAAUGAUGGCCAGGCUGUCUCCACCCGAGACUCAGUGAAAUUGAACUCGCUGUGAAGAUGCAGUGUACCCGCGGCAAGACGGAAAGACCCCGUGAACCUUUACUAUAGCUUGACACUGAACAUUGAGCCUUGAUGUGUAGGAUAGGUGGGAGGCUUUGAAGUGUGGACGCCAGUCUGCAUGGAGCCGACCUUGAAAUACCACCCUUUAAUGUUUGAUGUUCUAACGUGGACCCGUUA
rnacentral:rRNA from 1 species